CAAAAUCCGGGAUCACUUACGCCGAGCACCGAGACGAGUCCUAUGAGGACGAAGUGACUGACACCACGCUUCCAGGAAAAGCCACUAAGCUUCAGCUUAAGAAAAACCGUACCGCAAACCGACACAGGUAGGCAGGGUGAGAAUCCCAAGGCGCUUGAGAGAACUCGGGUGAAGGAACUAGGCAAAAUGGCACCGUAACUUCGGGAGAAGGUGCGCCCUUUGGUGUGGUCACGUGCGUGACUGAGCAUCGAAGGGUCGCAGUAACCUGGCCGCUGCGACUGUUUAUCAAAAACACAGCACUCUGCAAACACGAAAGUGGACGUAUAGGGUGUGACGCCUGCCCGGUGCUGGAAGGUUAAUUGAUGGGGUCAGCCGCAAGGCGAAGCUCUUGAUCGAAGCCCCAGUAAACGGCGGCCGUAACAAUAACGGUCCUAAGGUAGCGAAAUUCCUUGUCGGGUAAGUUCCGACCUGCACGAAUGGCGUAACGACAGCGGCGCUGUCUCCACCCGAGACUCAGUGAAAUUGAAAUCGCUGUGAAGAUGCAGCGUUCCCGCGGCAAGACGGAAAGACCCCGUGAACCUUUACUAUAGCUUUACACUGAACGUUGAGUUCUUCUGUGUAGGAUAGGUGGGAGGCUAUGAAACCAGGACGCUAGUUCUGGUGGAGCCAUCCUUGAAAUACCACCCUGAAGUGCUUGACGUUCUAACCUAGGCCCGUAAUCCGGGUCAGGGACCGUGUAUGGUGGGUAGUUUGACUGGGGCGGUCUCCUCCCAAAGAGUAACGGAGGAGCACGAAGGUACGCUCAGCGCGGUCGGACAUCGCGCACUGUGUGCAAAGGCAUAAGCGUGCUUGACUGCGAGAUCGACGGAUCAAGCAGGUACGAAAGUAGGUCUUAGUGAUCCGGUGGUUCUGUAUGGAAGGGCCAUCGCUCAACGGAUAAAAGGUACUCCGGGGAUAACAGGCUGAUACCGCCCAAGAGUUCAUAUCGACGGCGGUGUUUGGCACCUCGAUGUCGGCUCAUCACAUCCUGGGGCUGUAGCCGGUCCCAAGGGUAUGGCUGUUCGCCAUUUAAAGUGGUACGCGAGCUGGGUUCAGAACGUCGUGAGACAGUUCGGUCCCUAUCUGUCGUGGGCGUUGGAGAUUUGAGGGGGGCUGCUCCUAGUACGAGAGGACCGGAGUGGACGUUCCGCUGGUGUUCGGGUUGUCAUGCCCAUGGCAUUGCCCGGUAGCUACGAACGGAAGUGAUAACCGCUGAAAGCAUCUAAGCGGGAAGCACGCCCCAAGAUGAGAUCUCCCGAGAGCUUGACUCUCCUAAAGGCACCAUCAAGACUAGGUGGUUGAUAGGUCAGGUGUGGAAGCGCAGCAAUGCGUUGAGCUAACUGAUACUAAUGAGCCGUGAGGCUUGACCG
rnacentral:rRNA from 1 species